ensembl:lncRNA
AAUUAGCUCAGGGAAGAAAAUGUUGCAAGACCAAUUACCUGGUUUCCAGCAGAGGCAUGAAGUGAUUUUCAUUGACUAAUCCAGAAAACACGUAUUACCGGGUGCAUUGGUCCUAGCACAGGUGGUUCACUUGGCAACAAAUGCAUAAGGAAUAACUUCUUGAAACAGUGAAAUGAAAACGUGAAUCAUCCGUGGAUAUUUCUGCCCUGGUAAUAGCUUCAAGAUUUGAAGAAGAGUAGCAGUUAUCUGUAGUCUUUCCCUCACUGUUACGCAUGAAGUGCUUCAGAAGACACACACAGGAAAGACUGAAAUGCUUUCAGGACUUCUCAGCUGUAUAAUGAGGAUCAUCUUGUUUGGGAUAUGACCACGGAGUAACAACAGGGUCAUGCUUUCUCUGUCAGAUUCCUGUCUCAAAGGAGAUCCAGAUGAAUUUCUGUAGCAAAUGCAUGCUCUUCAUACACAUUCCCCUCAACUCAUCUGAGUUUCAUUUCUGUUGUGAGCGUUACAUCACCGUCUCUUGGCAACUAUCCCUGGAGUGCUUGGGAAGGAUAUUCAGUCAUUAAUGGGGAUGAACCCUGUCCCAUGGAAAGUGGCAAAGAGGAAGAUCACUGUUCUGGGUGAGAGCAGCUACUGCAUGUGGAAUCACUUGUCUGCAGAGAAAUGUAUUCUGACACGUUCCCAUUUGCCUUUGCACAACUGCACAGUGGACUUGGUAAUGCAUCUGAGCAGCCUUCUGAUCAGUCUAAAAAGUAGGGUAUCCCUCUCUUCCCAUUUAGAAAUAAAGAACUGCAGAGAUGAAUUCCACCAUCCAAGAAGCAGGUUGGAUAAGAUGGAAGUUGUGUCAGAUGGCUUCAAGGGUGCCUAAGACCAUCAGCAUUAAGUACUACCUGACUGCUGAAAUUCUUGAUAAUUCUCUCAUCUGUAGUCUCUAUUUAGCAACUGGUAGAAGGAUGGGAAAGUCGUGAUUUCCUAAAAGGGCUGUACCAUCUGUCAGUGCUACUCAUCUUUUUUUCAAACUUACUUUGAGUUAUUUUUUCUCUCCUUCUGACAUUCACCAUUCCCAGGCUGGGCUAUAGCCUGGUGAGUGUGCUGUUCAGUACCAAUUAUGAGAUACACAGAACUGUUUAUUUUAAAAUCUGAGGUGUCUCAGAAAAUGAAAUACCACUGGCACAAAUACUGACAACCAGCUUUCCAUGAGGGGAUGUGAAGCAAGGCAGAUAACCAUUACGGCCCUUUCAGGUAUUUCUGCAGGGAGUGCAGAUAGUUUUCAUCUUCAGAAUGACCCCACUGAUCCCAGAGAGCUUCUGUGGAAAAGCAGCAAUAUCUUGAGUUCAUCUGUGUCAAAAGCUGGUGAUAAACCUCAGACUUUUACCAGAGAUAAGAGGAUCAUAUUGCACAGUGGCCUUAAAGCAUGCUAAGAUUUGGAUUCUUGUGAAAGGAGGGCAUUACUAACUCUGGAUUUUUCAUAUUCUUUCUUACUCCAAAAAUGAAGUGAUUGUACAAUGCAGUGAGUAUGAUUCUUUUGUAUUUAAAUGUGAUUCUUUAAUUGAGUAACAUCUGGAUUCAGUCUGUGGGAAGAAAUUAGGCUUUUUUUUUUUUUUUUCUUUUAACCCUAUGCCUGUUUCAUUAAUCUUUCUUAUGCAUAUAGCUUUUUUCCAUUUUUCGUUUCGUUUUCCCUUUGCUGCCAAUAGGGCUUUGUUUUACAGUUUUCAUUUUUGGACUUUCCCCCCGCAGUCUCACACUUCAACAAAGCACUAAUGUUCAAAGUGUGAAAAUGACAGCAAAGGCACAUCCUCGUACAGUCGACAUGCUAAACCCACCUGAACAGAGGAGAGCAGGGUACAGAAUCAAGACUCUACAUUAAAAUAUGCAUCAAACUCCUGACGAAAAAGAAAUAAAGAAGUUAAUACGGCAAACAGCAAGAAACUAAACAAACACAGCCCAUAAAGGAAGCAAAUGCACCGAGUAUGAUGAGAAAGGAAAAGUCAGAUUAGGGCCAUCUCCACUCAUGGGAACACAUGAAGAGAGUCGGCAACUGCAAGCUGCACACUUUCCUCCAGAAGAAAAGGCUUGAUUUUCAGAAGUGCUUUUGAGGACAGAAUUUUCUGCUUCCCACUGGGAAGAAGAUCAUUUUUUUAAAGCUUAGCCUUACCAGAAAGUCAGGAUGAAUACUGGAAUGUGGUUUAACAUUGUACCCUCUGAGGAAAUGUUUAUCCCCACUAACUGGGGGUAAUUAGAAAGAAAGAUGGCGUUGCCUGUGGAACUUACUUAAAAACGUAUCUUUGGCAUUGUAUGGUGUAUUGGCAGCAAUAAAGCAGAAGGGAAUCAGUGUUGGUGGUUCAAGGGGUGGGAAAGCUGAAACAGGAAACAUCAGGAACAGCCAACACAGUGUGUAGUCAGUCAAGCCCAGUGCACAUAUAUCUGGAGCAACACAUACAUGUAUACACACAUGUGCACGCGUGUACACACCUCAGCCAUGCAGACACUGAGGCAAGAGGCAGAAAGAUCAGAGGAGGAAACAGUUUAAGUGCUGCAGCUCCAUGUACAUAUAUACAGACCUCUGCCCCCAGCCCACUCAUGCAGAGGCCUUUUUGUCCAUUUUCUUCUCUUGAAAAAAUCUGGUGAUGCAUCCUGGCAUAUGGGAAAAAGCUCAUGGUUUGCUAAAGCUUUUAGGGGGUUGGUCUGCUUCCUUAAUCUACUGUUAAAUGAGUUUGGAGGCCAGAAUAAGAAAUGCUUUUUUGUAUUUUGCCAAUUGAAAUCAAAAUAAAUAUAUAACUAAAAGGAGCUCGCUCACAAAUUUACAUUACCUAUAUGUUGCUAUGUCAUACUAGCAAAUACAGCUCAGCACCUAUUACUAUGACUUUCAGAAAGAAUCAUGCAAACUCAGAAUGGCUGAUGUGGGCAGGGACCUCUGGGUCCAUCUGCUCCAAUUCCUGCACAAGCAGGGCCAUACACAGCAGGGCACCCAGGCCCACAUCCAGGCAGCUUUUGAAGAUCUUCAAGGAGGAGACUCCAUAGCCUCUGGGCAGCCCAUGCAAGCAGUCCAGCACCUGUGCACUGAAAAAAUAUUUGCUGACGCUCAGGGGAAACCCCCUGUAUGCCAGUUUGUGUCCAUUGCCUCUUGUCCUGGCAUUGGGCACCACUGGAAAGAGCCUGGCCCCAUCCUUUUGGCACCCUCCCUUCAGCUAUACAUAGGUGUGAAUGAGACCCCUUGAACUGCUUCUUCUCCGGGCUGAACAGGCCCAGAUCUCUCAGCCUUUCCUCAUAGGAGAGAUGCUCCAGCCUCUUCAUCAUCUUCGUGGCCCUACGUUGAACUCUUUCCAGUAUGUCUGUAUCUUUUUUUAUACUGGAGGGCCCAGAAACGGACCCAGCACUCCAGGUGUGACCUGACCAGCACUAAGGCAGCAAUAACAUAUUCUGAGCUCGAGAAAGUCUCUCAUAUUUCUCUCCUAUACAGGGAACAAACACAAUUUUAAAGGAUUUGUCAUUUUAAAAAUAAUGAAUAAUGAGAUACAUACCUUGUUCCUUUUUCCAGAAAGAAGAUAUUUAAAACAGGGCACUGACAAAGCCUAUAAUUUCACAUCACUUUCUUCUAUGAUUUUCACAGCCAGAGUAGCAAUGGGAAAGUGACGCAGGUCACCAGUGUAGCAAAAAGCUGAACGUCAAGUGGUGAGAAAAAAUAAAUAAAUCAGUGGCUGUACUAUUACCAAGAGAAUUGAGGCUUGCUCUUCCUGAAGAAAAGCUGUCUGCAGCCAGCUCUCACAGCAACAGAACCAGGGCAACUGCCAAUGUAGGCGAAGCAAAGCAAAAUGAAGUUCAAGACCUAUUGCCAAGGGGUGGAAAGGUUUAAGAACAACAAAUGCCUCAUCUUGACAAUGUAAAAUCUGCAAAGACUAGAACAGAAAGGGCCAAUUACUACCUUAUGUUCCAGUUCUAAUCCGAAAUUAUAGGAUAGAUUUCUAAUGAGGGGGAACACUACUGGAGGCAGCUGUGGAGGAUGGAGGGGUACAUUGCUGUAAUUACAGACCCUUGUGCAUUGGUGACAGAAGUUCCAAAACUUCAAGAGGCAACACCUUUGUAAUAUUUGUUUUUGCAGAAUCAAAUAACACCCUCAAUUUGCAGUGGAAUGGAAACACUGAAGUAUGUGAGUUUCAAAGCAGAUUGUAGUACUACCUGGCACGUGGUAGGAGCUGGACUAAGAAGGCAGAGCAUCAUCACCUGUACAUGUGUGUGUUUGUGAUGUGGCAAGUGCAGCUGAGCGCCUCUGAACAGCCCAGUUCCAGAAGCUGAACUCUGAAAAAGCUACAACUGGCUGGAAACAGGGCUUUAUGAUGAAAUGUGUAGACAACUUUAAUAGCACUUGGAGCCAUCAGCCUCACCUGCAAUCACUGAUCAGAUUUGGAGAAAGCUAUUAAAAAAACAACAACAACAACAACAACAACAAAAUGCUGUAGUGAAGCCUACAGGCCUUUGUUUUAUUCUCCCCAUUGGAAGCGUGGCAGAUACAGCCAGACAGCCCUGUAAUCUGGGAACCAGAUAUUUUGGAGAGAAAUCACAGCCACAUCAGCACCCAGCUUUCAUCUGGAUGUUUGUUUGUUUGUUUUCUGUCUCUGAUCUCUUUAGCUGGCUAAUUACGAAGCCUGAAUCAGCAGCUUGCCCAACGAGGGCAACUACUCCAUCUGUACCUGCGACCCUUAGAAAGAUCUCCCAGUGUACUCAAGUUAGUAAGUAGCGAGCCCCUCACAAGCCUCUCAGCCUAGUUUAUUUAGCUGACCUUAUAAACGUGUGCUGUGUUCUACUAUACUGCUCUUUCUGCGUUUCCUAUUUUAAGAUGAAUUAAGGGGGAAAAAAAUCCAUAAACCUUGACAUCACAUUUUGCAAAGGAAGCAAAUGCACUCCUCCCUAGACUCAAAAUGAAUGGCCUUUUAAGGUGACUGCUGAAUUAAAUUCCUGAAUGAUGAAAUCAACAUGUAUGAAAAAGUUCUUAUUUCCGAAACAGAAAAAAGCUGCAGGAAAAAAGAAGGGGGGGGAGGAGGAAAGCUCAGUAGUGUGAUUGCAGGGUUGAGAGCUGAAUAGGAGCUGUUUACAGUGACUCAAUAAAGAUACUUUACUUAGCUUUGGUAGUAAUGCAACUUCACAGGCUGAAGGGAAAUGGGGAUAUCCAUAUUCUGAGCCCGCUAAGCUUCUCUAAUGUAAGACAUGUGCAUUUAGUUGAAGUCCUGAAAUACCUCACUAAGAAGAAGGAUGAUGGGAAACCCCAAGCACAUCUUUCUGUUUAUCAUACGUUACAUACUUCUGACAUACUUUACACAGUAGUGUAUGCAGCUGACAUCAGUCUUUAGAUAUAUAACAUGCCUGUAAGGUAUGCAGCUAAACUCCGAUUCUGUGAAGACCUAAAAUACCCUUAAGACAGUAAAAAUAAUCUCAUUAGAGGUACGGAGCAUGUCUGGACAUUCUCAGGACAGAGGUGCUGCUACAGCACAGCCUAUUGCUCUCACAGCAGGGAGUCACAGCAUAUCAAACCAACAUAAAACACAGAAAUGUAACAAUCUCCCAACUAUCUUGAGAAAAGAACCAAAGGGAAUUCCGUGAAAGCUUUAAAUUCCCUACAGCUCAGGAAGUCGCUAAAGAUUAGGUUGAUUAACACCGCCUAAGCAUUUUUCUAUCAUUUUCCACAAGAGUGUUGCAGAUAGACAAGAGCGCAACAGACAUGAAAUCUAGUUCCAAUUUCUUCUUCUCAUGAUUCUUGCUCCAGUGUGACUCCAAAACUUGGGUUUCCACCAGACUUUUCUACAUUAUAUUUUCUACUGUUGGAACAACCCUUGUUGCUGAGUUGUUGAUAACAAUAAUAUGAGCUUCAAGGCAGGAAAGGUACUGUUAGGUGUUGAUAUUUUUUCAUUACUACAUCAACCAGACUUGCUUUAAGUAAGGUUAGACCACACAGUGAUAAAAUACUGAUGUCUUAUCUUAAUUGUUCUCAGUGCAGCUACAGGCAAUCUGCUACACCAGAGAUAACUGAAUGUUAGAGGAGGGUGGCUAUUUUAGACAGCUUGCAUCUGCAGGAAAGGAAGAGAAUGCGAUACCUCUGUAGGACUUCAGAAUCAUGUGCUUUUCCUUUUUUAAGCUCAAUUCCUCUCCAUAUCAGAUAAUUACAGGUAGUAAAUGAAUUACUUGGACAGUUUGAAUGGGUAAUGGAGAGGGAGCUGGGUGAUGGCUUGAAGACCUUCUGCACUUCAGUCACUUCAGUGGGCUAGAAGGACGCUAGGGCUAGGUACCAGGACAGGCAGGGGAAUGCUGCAGUCAAAGAUAGUUUCCAUCACAUGGUCUGGGGCUAACUGUGAAUUGGUGGCUUUGCAAGGGAUAUGACAGCAUCACACUCCUUUCACUUCUAUCUUCUUUGCUUUUUAUCUACUAAAAGAGAAAAUUCUGAGUUUUGGAUCCUACAUACAUUUUGUCCAUAGCAACCACAACACUUCCCUCAGAUUUGCUAAAAAGCACGUCUUUGAUUUAGAACAAGAAAGACGGAUCUUCCUGCUGAUCCUCUACUUCUGAGCUUGACUGAAAUUUAGAAGUCAGCACUUUCAUUACAUACAGUCUCUCUGACGGCCCUUCCCAUGAUAGAGCCUCCAAACUCUGGCUUAGCAACCCACAGCUUUUGUAAGUAAUCACUGGGAAAGCACUGAGGAAAAACUGUGGAGUGAUGACUCACUGUAUCACAGUUUGGUUGCUUUAUCGUUUUCUAAUGCUCCUGAUGGGAAGAUAUUUUCUAUUGUGAGAGGCUUGUUUUCCUGCUCCAUUGGAACAAUGAUCUGUAAGGAUUUCCUGAGGAGUGACUGCUCCUUAUAGGGUGUGAGAUUUGUUGUCCUUUAGCUUCUGGAAGGCCAAGCUAAUUAACCAUCACCUAGUUACUUACUACCUUCCUGUUCCCUUUUGCCUUUUCAACACCCACUUGAGAGCAGAGGGUUUGUCACAGGACAUGCACACUGGGAAAUAGGGUGUGACUAAUCACAAACCAUCAUAAAUCAGCAGUGGAGGAGAAAAUGUGUAGGAUCAAGCUAGAGCAUCCAGGGGCCAUGUACAAACGAGAGCUCUGGGCCUUGCCCACAGCCUGGAGUAAUGCUAUGGGUUCAGUUUGGCAUCGCUGGCCUCCAGUGUGAGUUCCAGAUGUGGAAGUGGCCCCCAUUUGUGACAACAAUGACAACAAUUGACUUCUUUUGCCUCCAACCAGAAAUAACUCUUGGGGCUUCUUAAGAAAGCAAAUACACAACACAAGUCAAGGUUUAUCUGCUUGGGCAGAAGGCCCAAAACCACUGCAUUCUUCUCUUAUUUACAGUCUUCAGCGAAGACUUCUCUCCCAUGAUGACUGCAGACUUUAAUAUUUCCUUACAAGCACAGCCAGCUGUUUUGGGCUGCUUGCAGGCAUAGCCACACCUGUUAGGCUAGAUGCUUAACAAGAUAAAAAGGCAUGUUUUGGGGAAAGCCAUCAGAUUGUCUUCUCAGUGACUGGCCAAAAUGCAUGGCCGAAAGAGUUUGUAAAGAUCAUCCUAGGUAAGCUCAUGCAGGAGUUUCAGAAAUGGACUCUCUCACGAAGCCACUGACUCCUGGUUGUUGAGAGAAAGUCUUUUAAGAUGAUGCUAAACCUGCAGGAAUGCUUCUGAUCUGAUGGUAUGGGUAAAUAUAUGCUUAUAUGCCUUUAGGAUGGGGGACUAGAAGAUAUGUCAGUCACAUUACAUAGCUUGCUAUUGUCCCUUUCCCAGCUCCCAGGAGGCCGAGUGAAGCAGCUGUACUGCAGGGAUGCCAACCCUCAGCAAAAUACAGCAAUUGUUUUAUGAGUUUAAUGCUCUUUAUUUCCUAACUUAUUUACCAGGGGUACGUGUGGAGCUCUGUGAAAGUCGGUUUGCUGAGGAAGAAAGCCUUAAAAACACUCCUCCAUUUUUUGAUGUGUUGUUUUGUAUUGAAUAAAAGCGCUCUGUUGUAGAAAAUUAAAGUUUCAUUUAAAAGAUGAAAAUGAGGAGGGGAGGACGGACCUGGACAGGAAAACUCCAAAGCAGAGAAAUACCUCUUCAGCUCACACUGGGAAAAGAUAAAACAGAAACCAGGUUGGCCCAAUCUCAUCUUCAUUUCCUAACUGAUUGCGUCAGCCAUCAAACACCGCAGCAAGGGUGGGGACCUCACUGCCCUGGGGUCAUACGGCCUCUGCCCCAGUGGCUGCCAUGCUGAGGGGCAAAUGGCUCCUUCGUGGCACUGUAUCUCUGUGAAUCUAAUCUGACCUCCAUGCAAAACUGCCAGCUUGGUAUUUGCUAGCUCAGGUGCUGCUAUCACCUCCAUGUUGACAGAAAGAUAUACCGGUAAUGGCUGGGACUCUGCGGUGAGCACUGCCAACCUCCGUACCAAGGGGAAUUAAUUGCAGGAUUGGGGCCCACUAUGAAGCACAUAAAAGGGAUCUAGAAAAGUGCUGGAGCCCAGGCAGCAUUAGAUAAACGGUGGUGAGAAAGCCUGCAUUUAUAGCACUAAUGUAGCUGUGUUUCCUGAAAAAAAAAAAAAAAGAGAACAAGAAAUUCCCCAGUGUAGGCAUACUUAUUGUUUGCCAAAAAGCAUUCUGAAUUCCUCAAUAAUCAGUCAGGAAGCGGUAAAAUCUGUCAGACAAAUGACCAAUAUGUUAUUUUUUCCAAUAUCAAAUAUAUAUUUUAGGUCAUUACUAUUAGAGAAAAACAUUUCGUGGCCAAUGCAAUUUAUUUUUUCAGCGAUACUGAAUCUGUGAGUCAUACACAGCGAACGGAACCUCUGUGCACACACACACACAAAACCAUCUUAAGGACUUUGUUUCAGUCCAGACCAGUACUUUGCCUUGUAGAUGCAUCAGCUGCUGGCACUCGCUGUUCUUUCUAAAGAUUGCACAGGUAGAAAUUGUGUUGGUGUUUUCCCAUUCAAGUAAUCAGAAAAGUGGAAUUAAUUAUAAUAGCUAUAAUGUUUGUGCUGCCUGUAGACACCUGGAUUUCCCAUAAUAAACUUUCACAAAAUGUUUAAGAUAAUUUCGGACUUUAUUUGGUCACUUUGUGUGAUUGCUUUUGUUUAAUUUCCUCUGUGACAGAAGGCAAAGUGCUGACUUUGUAUCAGAAUAGGUCUACUAGCUUUGGAUGGCUGUUCUGAGGACCUCCUGUGAAGUUUCCCUGUUCUCUCCAUUGGAGAGGAUCUUUCUUUUUCUCUGAUGGAUGUAAAUUAGUAGGACUCACCUGGCGUUGCUGUUAGGAGUUGAAUCAGCAGAGUAACACUGCGAUUCUUUCCAGCUUCUUUGCUCGUAGAUAAAAAGAAAACAGAAUGCUAGCUUAAUAACCUUUCCCCAUUGUGCCCCAGAGGUUGGGCAUAUUGCCAUACACGGAUGUUAUCAAAAAUUGAAUCAUUUUAUAAAUAAACUGUGAAUUAACAGCUGUCUGGAUAAAUGUAUGCUUUGGUCCAAGACUGAUGUAUUCCAUUCUUUGAGAAUGUUC